rnacentral:tRNA from 1 species
UCCUGGUUAGCUCUGUAGGUAGAGCGCUCCACUGGAAACGGAGAGAUCCCUCGUUCUAUACGUGGACCAGGCG